rnacentral:rRNA from 1 species
GACGAACGCUGGCGGCGUGCUUAACACAUGCAAGUCGAACGGUAAGGCCCUUCGGGGUACACGAGUGGCGAACGGGUGAGUAACACGUGGGUGAUCUGCCCUGCACUUCGGGAUAAGCCUGGGAUACUGGGUCUAAUACCGGAUAGGACCACUGCCUGCAUGGGUGGUGGUGGAAAGCUUUUGCGGUGUGGGAUGGGCCCGCGGCCUAUCAGCUUGUUGGUGGGGUGAUGGCCUACCAAGGCGACGACGGGUAGCCGGCCUGAGAGGGUGACAGGCCACACUGGGACUGAGAUACGGCACAGACUCCUACGGGAGGCAGCAGUGGGGAAUAUUGCACAAUGGGCGCAAGCCUGAUGCAGCGACGCCGCGUGAGGGAUGACGGCCUUCGGGUUGUAAACCUCUUUCAGCACCGACGAAGCGCAAGUGACGGUAGGUGCAGAAGAAGGACCGGCCAACUACGUGCCAGCAGCCGCCGUAA